CGGGAAGCGGACCUCGAGAUAAGAUUUCCCGCUCGAAAGAGUUAAGGGCAGUUCGAGAACAGGACAUUGAUAGGUCGCAAGUGUAAGUGCAGUGAUGUAUUGAGCUGAGCGAUACUAAUAGCCCGAGGCUUUGGACA
rnacentral:rRNA from 1 species